UGGGGAAUAUUGGACAAUGGGGGGAACCCUGAUCCAGCCAUGCCGCGUGUGUGAAGAAGGCCUUAUGGUUGUAAAGCACUUUAAGCGAGGAGGAGGGUACUGGUAUUAAUACUACCAGCUACUGGACGUUACUCGCAGAAUAAGCACCGGCUAACUCUGUGCCAGCAGCCGCGGUAAUACAGAGGGUGCGAGCGUUAAUCGGAUUUACUGGGCGUAAAGCGUGCGUAGGCGGCUAAUUGAGUCGGAUGUGAAAUCCCCGAGCUUAACUUGGGAAUUGCAUUCGAUACUGGUUAGCUAGAGUGUGGGAGAGGAUGGUAGAAUUCCAGGUGUAGCGGUGAAAUUCGUAGAGAUCUGGAGGAAUACCGAUGGCGAAGGCAGCCCUCUGGCCUAACACUGACGCUGAGGUACGAAAGCAUGGGGAGCAAACAGG
rnacentral:rRNA from 1 species